UCAGCCCCAGGCCGGCUUCCGGGAGCCCCGCUAAGUGCAGGGGGAUACCCCGUCCUUGGCGGCUGCUUGCCUUUCUCCGUACUGUCCCUGUGAAGGUCAAGAUCUAUAGGGAGUUGAGAGUCCCCAGACAUACGAUGGGCGAGUUGCACCUACUCAGUGUGGGAGACAACCAGGGUGACGACUUUUGCCAUGAUCCACUUCCACAUAACGAAUGCUAUAUAUCCAACUGUAUUUCCAGCGAUCUGUGGAAGAUUGGAUUUUCUUCACAUACUUCAAGCAAAACAAAUGGCAGCAAAUCAAAUGCAGAAGCAGAUGCGAUAUCCAACUAUAUUCUACUAAGCCAGAUGUAGAAGACAUUUGCAAAAGACAUUUGA